UACGUAGGGUCCGAGCGUUGUCCGGAAUUACUGGGCGUAAAGAGCUCGUAGGUGGUUUGUCGCGUUGUUCGUGAAAACUCACAGCUCAACUGUGGGCGUGCGGGCGAUACGGGCAGACAAGAGUACUGCAGGGGAGACUGGAAUUCCUGGUGUAGCGGUGGAAUGCGCAGAUAUCAGGAGGAACACCGGUGGCGAAGGCGGGUCUCUGGGCAGUAACUGACGCUGAGGAGCGAAAGCGUGGGGAGCGAACAGG
rnacentral:rRNA from 1 species